GUCUUCAAUCAUACCACCCUGAACACGCCCGAUCUCAUCUGAUCUCGGAAGCUACGCAGGGUUGGGCCUGGUUAGUACUUGGAUGGGAGAGAGUAGGUGUAUAAAUACC
ensembl:rRNA 5S_rRNA 5S ribosomal RNA